GACGGAGGGUGCAAGCGUUGCUCGGAAUCACUGGGCGUAAAGGGUGCGUAGGCGGUCUCGCAAGUCUGGCGUGAAAGCCCAAGGCUCAGCCUUGGAAGUGCGCUCGAAACGGCGAGGCUGGAGUGCCGGAGGGGAGAGUGGAAUUCCUGGUGUAGCGGUGAAAUGCGUAGAUAUCAGGAGGAACACCGGUGGUGUAGACGGCUCUCUGGACCGUAACUGACGCUGAGACACGAAAGCGUGGGUAGCAAACAGG
rnacentral:rRNA from 1 species